AUUGAACGCUGGCGGUAUGCUUAACACAUGCAAGUCGAACGGCAGCACAGUAUGUAGCAAUACAUAUGGGUGGCGAGUGGCGGACGGGUGAGUAACGCGUAGGAAUCUACCCUAAAGCGGGGGACAACCCGAGGAAACUCGGGCUAAUACCGCAUAAUCUCGAAAGAGUAAAGCUGGGGCAACCUGGCACUUUAGGAGGAGCCUGCGUCCGAUUAGCUAGUUGGUGAGGUAAAGGCUCACCAAGGCGAUGAUCGGUAGCUGGUCUGAGAGGAUGAUCAGCCACACUGGGACUGCGACACGGCCCAGACUCCUACGGGAGGCAGCAGUGGGGAAUAUUGGACAAUGGGGGCAACCCUGAUCCAGCAAUACCGCGUGUGUGAAGAAGGCCUUAGGGUUGUAAAGCACUUUAGUUGGGGAAGAAGGAUAGUUGUUUAAGAGGUGAUUAUUUUGACGGUACCCAAAGAAUAAGCACCGGCUAACUCUGUGCCAGCAGCCGCGGUAA
rnacentral:rRNA from 1 species